GGUUAAGCGACUAAGCGUACACGGUGGAUGCCCUGGCAGUCAGAGGCGAUGAAGGACGUGCUAAUCUGCGAAAAGCGCCGGCGAGGUGAUAUGAACCCUUGACCCGGCGAUGUCCGAAUGGGGAAACCCAGUGCAAUCCGUUGCACUAUCGUUAACUGAAUACAUAGGUUAACGAGGCGAACCGGGGGAACUGAAACAUCUAAGUACCCCGAGGAAAAGAAAUCAACCGAGAUUCCCCCAGUAGCGGCGAGCGAACGGGGAGCAGCCCGGAGUCUGAAUCAGCUUGUGUGUUAGUGGAACGGUCUGGAAAGUCCGACGGUACAGGGUGAUAGUCCCGUACACGAAAAUGCACAGGUUGUGAACUCGAAGAGUAGGGCGGGACACGUGGUAUCCUGUCUGAAUAUGGGGGGACCAUCCUCCAAGGCUAAAUACUCCUGACUGACCGAUAGUGAACCAGUACCGUGAGGGAAAGGCGAAAAGAACCCCGGCGAGGGGAGUGAAAAAGAACCUGAAACCGUGUACGUACAAGCAGUGGGAGCCUCUUUAUGGGGUGACUGCGUACCUUUUGUAUAAUGGGUCAGCGACUUAUAUUCUGUAGCAAGGUUAACCGUAUAGGGGAGCCGAAGGGAAACCGAGUCUUAACUGGGCGUUAAGUUGCAGGGUAUAGACCCGAAACCCGGUGAUCUAGCCAUGGGCAGGUUGAAGGUUGGGUAACACUAACUGGAGGACCGAACCGACUAAUGUUGAAAAAUUAGCGGAUGACCUGUGGCUGGGGGUGAAAGGCCAAUCAAACCGGGAGAUAGCUGGUUCUCCCCGAAAGCUAUUUAGGUAGCGCCUCGUGAAUUCAUCUUCGGGGGUAGAGCACUGUUUCGGCUAGGGGGCCAUCCCGGCUUACCAACCCGAUGCAAACUACGAAUACCGAAGAAUGUUAUCACGGGAGACACACGGCGGGUGCUAACGUCCGUCGUGAAGAGGGAAACAACCCAGACCGCCAGCUAAGGUCCCAAAGUCAUGGUUAAGUGGGAAACGAUGUGGGAAGGCACAGACAGCCAGGAUGUUGGCUUAGAAGCAGCCAUCAUUUAAAGAAAGCGUAAUAGCUCACUGGUCGAGUCGGCCUGCGCGGAAGAUGUAACGGGGCUAAACCAUGCACCGAAGCUGCGGCAGCGACACUAUGUGUUGUUGGGUAGGGGAGCGUUCUGUAAGCCGUUGAAGGUGUGCUGUGAGGCAUGCUGGAGGUAUCAGAAGUGCGAAUGCUGACAUAAGUAACGAUAAAGCGGGUGAAAAGCCCGCUCGCCGGAAGACCAAGGGUUCCUGUCCAACGUUAAUCGGGGCAGGGUGAGUCGACCCCUAAGGCGAGGCCGAAAGGCGUAGUCGAUGGGAAACAGGUUAAUAUUCCUGUACUUGGUGUUACUGCGAAGGGGGGACGGAGAAGGCUAUGUCAGCCGGGCGACGGUUGUCCCGGUUUAAGCAUGUAGGCGGAGGUUCCAGGUAAAUCCGGUACCUUUUAACGCUGAGGUGUGAUGACGAGGCACUACGGUGCUGAAGUGAUAAAUGCCCUGCUUCCAGGAAAAGCCUCUAAGCAUCAGGUAACACGAAAUCGUACCCCAAACCGACACAGGUGGUCAGGUAGAGAAUACCAAGGCGCUUGAGAGAACUCGGGUGAAGGAACUAGGCAAAAUGGUGCCGUAACUUCGGGAGAAGGCACGCUGAUGUGUAGGUGAAGCCCCUGCGGGCGGAGCUGAAAUCAGUCGAAGAUACCAGCUGGCUGCAACUGUUUAUUAAAAACACAGCACUGUGCAAACACGAAAGUGGACGUAUACGGUGUGACGCCUGCCCGGUGCCGGAAGGUUAAUUGAUGGGGUUAGCGGCAACGCGAAGCUCUUGAUCGAAGCCCCGGUAAACGGCGGCCGUAACUAUAACGGUCCUAAGGUAGCGAAAUUCCUUGUCGGGUAAGUUCCGACCUGCACGAAUGGCGUAAUGAUGGCCAGGCUGUCUCCACCCGAGACUCAGUGAAAUUGAACUCGCUGUGAAGAUGCAGUGUACCCGCGGCAAGACGGAAAGACCCCGUGAACCUUUACUAUAGCUUGACACUGAACACUGGUCCUUGAUGUGUAGGAUAGGUGGGAGGCUUUGAAGCGUGGACGCCAGUCUGCGUGGAGCCAACCUUGAAAUACCACCCUUUAAUGGCUGGUGUUCUAACGUAGACCCGUAAUCCGGGUUGCGGACAGUGUCUGGUGGGUAGUUUGACUGGGGCGGUCUCCUCCCAAAGAGUAACGGAGGAGCACGAAGGUUGGCUAAUCCUGGUCGGACAUCAGGAGGUUAGUGCAAUGGCAUAAGCCAGCUUGACUGCGAGCGUGACGGCGCGAGCAGGUGCGAAAGCAGGUCAUAGUGAUCCGGUGGUUCUGAAUGGAAGGGCCAUCGCUCAACGGAUAAAAGGUACUCCGGGGAUAACAGGCUGAUACCGCCCAAGAGUUCAUAUCGACGGCGGUGUUUGGCACCUCGAUGUCGGCUCAUCACAUCCUGGGGCUGAAGUAGGUCCCAAGGGUAUGGCUGUUCGCCAUUUAAAGUGGUACGCGAGCUGGGUUUAGAACGUCGUGAGACAGUUCGGUCCCUAUCUGCCGUGGGCGCUGGAGAAUUGAGGGGGGCUGCUCCUAGUACGAGAGGACCGGAGUGGACGCAUCACUGGUGUUCGGGUUGUCAUGCCAAUGGCACUGCCCGGUAGCUAAAUGCGGAAGAGAUAAGUGCUGAAAGCAUCUAAGCACGAAACUUGCCCCGAGAUGAGUUCUCCCUGAGACUUUAAGUCUCCUGAAGGAACGUUGAAGACGACGACGUUGAUAGGUCGGGUGUGUAAGCGCAGCGAUGCGUUGAGCUAACCGAUACUAAUGAACCGUGAGGCUUAACCUU
rnacentral:rRNA from 1 species